GAUUACGCAUCUUCUCCCCCGCCAGCUCGCCAGCUCGGGAGCUUCUUGAGAGCAGGGUCCAUGGCAGGCUUUGCUCACCAUUGCGUGGCUCCAGGCUCAGUACUACCCCAACCAUCACCACCACCACCAAUACACCAUCGCUGGCAUCUGGUUUGUUGAACAGAACAAGGGAAACCCUGGAAAUAAAUGAGACCGUGCUGUCGUAAAG
rnacentral:lncRNA from 1 species